rnacentral:rRNA from 1 species
CUGAGGCGUGACGACGAGGCACUACGGUGCUGAAGCAACAAAUGCCCUGCUUCCAGGAAAAGCCUCUAAGCAUCAGGUAACACGAAAUCGUACCCCAAACCGACACAGGUGGUCAGGUAGAGAAUACCAAGGCGCUUGAGAGAACUCGGGUGAAGGAACUAGGCAAAAUGGUGCCGUAACUUCGGGAGAAGGCACGCUGACA